rnacentral:rRNA from 1 species
GAUGAACGCUAGCUACAGGCUUAACACAUGCAAGUCGAGGGGCAGCAGGAACUUAGCUUGCUAAGUUUGCUGGCGACCGGCGCACGGGUGAGUAACGCGUAUCCAACCUGCCCAUUACUCAGGGAUAGCCUUGCGAAAGUAAGAUUAAUACCUGAUGUUGUUAUAGACCCGCAUGAGUUUUUAACUAAAGAUUUAUUGGUAAUGGAUGGGGAUGCGUAACAUUAGGUAGUUGGUGAGGUAACGGCUCACCAAGCCUACGAUGUUUAGGGGUUUUGAGAGGAAGGUCCCCCACACUGGAACUGAGACGCGGUCCAAACUCCUACGGGAGGCAGCAGUGGGGAAUAUUGGUCAAUGGACGAGAGUCUGAACCAGCCAUGUCGCGUGAAGGAUGACUGUCCUAUGGAUUGUAAACUUCUUUUAUAUGGGAAUAAAGUGAGAAACGAGUUUCUUUUUGUAUGUACCAUAUGAAUAAGCAUCGGCUAACUCCGUGCCAGCAGCCGCCGUAAUAC